rnacentral:rRNA from 1 species
ACGGCGAGUGAGCGGCAACAGCUCAAAUUUGAAAGCUAGCCUUCGGGUUCGCAUUGUAAUUUGUAGAGGAUGAUUUGGGGAAGCCGCCUGUCUAAGUUCCUUGGAACAGGACGUCAUAGAGGGUGAGAAUCCCGUAUGUGACAGGAAAUGGCACCCUAUGUAAAUCUCCUUCGACGAGUCGAGUUGUUUGGGAAUGCAGCUCUAAAUGGGAGGUAAAUUUCUUCUAAAGCUAAAUAUUGGCGAGAGACCGAUAGCGCACAAGUAGAGUGAUCGAAAGAUGAAAAGCACUUUGGAAAGAGAGUUAAAAAGCACGUGAAAUUGUUGAAAGGGAAGCGCUUGCAAUCAGACUUGUUUAAACUGUUCGGCCGGUCUUCUGACCGGUUUACUCAGUUUGGACAGGCCAGCAUCAGUUUCGGCGGCCGGAUAAAGGCUCUGGGAAUGUGGCCUCCACUUCGGUGGAGGUGUUAUAGCCCAGGGUGUAAUACGGCCAGCCGGGACUGAGGUCCGCGCUUCGGCUAGGAUGCUGGCGUAAUGGUUGUAAGCAACCCGUC